rnacentral:rRNA from 1 species
GACGAACGCUGGCGGCGUGCUUAACACAUGCAAGUCGAACGAUGAAGCCGGAGCUUGCUCUGGUGAAUUAGUGGCGAACGGGUGAGUAACACGUGAGUAACCUGCCCUUGACUCUGGGAUAACUGCGGGAAACUGUAGCUAAUACCGGAUACGACCCUCGGAGGCAUCUCCUGGGGGUGGAAAGAAUUUCGGUCAAGGAUGGACUCGCGGCCUAUCAGCUAGGUGGUGAGGUAAAGGCUCACCAAGGCGACGACGGGUAGCCGGCCUGAGAGGGUGACCGGCCACACUGGGACUGGGACACGGCCAAGACUCCUACGGGAGGCAGCAGUGGGGAAUAUUGCGCAAUGGGCGCAAGCCUGAUGCAGCAACGCCGCGUGAGGGAGGAAGGCCUUCGGGUUGUAAACCUCUUUUAGCAGGGAAGAAGCGAAAGUGACGGUACCUGCAGAAAAAGCACCGGCUAACUACGUGCCAGCCGCCGCCGUAA